rnacentral:lncRNA from 1 species
UUUUCUAUCGGUAUGAAUACCUGCCAGUAUGACCCGAUUAUAUCGUAUUCAGACAGACAUUUCAUCAUACAUUUCGUGGUGCCAAAAAUAAAACUGUGUUUUCGAGACAGAAAGAGGGAAACAGAAACUGAAAGAUGAGGAAGAAAGCGGCGUUGCUGCUGGUGCUAUGGCUGGCUAUGUCGAUGGGGUCUUGGGGCCAAGAUAAACUGAAAGCGUAAAUUUCAUAUCUUUCUUUAGAAAACUUCUUCCUUUUUUGAAUCACCUGCUCCUUUAAUUUCUUGAAAAAUUAAUCCAACAUGCAUUUUCAUUUAUGUGAAAUAUUGUUCAGUAACGAAGAAUACCAAUCUACAGAGUUUGGUACAUUGUCAAAUUUUUGACCCUGAGAAACAGAAACCUGGCUCUCAUACCAUAUUGAGAAAUAAACUUUUCAGUGAUUUGGAAUAAAGUUACAACCUAUAUAUAUACAAGUAUUACAACCAAUGAGAGUAGCACUACUACAUUCUAACUAACAAAAAAACUAUCCAAUAUCUAAGUAGGAUCUUUUACAUCUGCAUUUACAUUUGUACCCACAAUAGAUGUGGUAUGAAUCGGUUGCUUUUGUACUAUAACUUUUACCUAUUUGAAGUGAAGCUUAGACUUUUAGAUAUAUUGAAUCAAAACUAGCCCGCAUUUUCGAUGUGAACGAUGUACUAAGCCCCAGUUUGGGGUUGAGGUGAUUUUAAAAAAAGCUCCUAUGAAAAAAAGCUGGGAGUGUUUUUGGUGUUUGGUAAACUUAAAAAAAAGGGCUUAUUUUGGAAGCUGCUGUCAGAAUAAGCUGAAAUCAAAGGAAAAAGCUGAAGCUGCAAUUUGUAGCUUUGGAAAACUGGCUUUUUUUCAAAGCACACAGAACUACAGUGCUCAUUUGAUGAAAAGAUCCACUAUCAGACUGCUUUUUUUUUUCAAAAGCACUUUUACAAAAAAGUUUACCAAACACUCUGCUGAUUUAUUUCACAGCCGCUUAUUCUCACAGCACAGCCGCUUAUUCUCACAGCAGCUUUUUUUCAAAGCACAGCAAUACCAAACCAGCUUUUGUUUGUUCAUAGGAAAUCUUCUAUGAAAACAACGAAUACCAAUAUAUAGAAUCCGGUGCAAUGUUGAUGUUAAUUAUGUGAAUUCUGUGUUUGUGUGGUAGCAUCAACGAAAUAUCGACAAUGUACUAGUAUUGUAGUUUGGUACACGUUGCGUAUUUAUUUGUGUAUUUUUGUGCCCUCUAUGCGUUUGAUUUCUUUCAUUGUUUAUACUUACUUCGUAGUGUUACACAUCCUACGACACUAAUAGUCUAAUAGUUGAAGAUCUGCUAUUUUUAACCACUUAACUUUGCUUUCCAAUUCAGUAUAUCUUAGAAUUUAUAGCUUAUGAAAAUAUUGGUUGUUUUAUUUUGUUCUUUUAUAUGUUGUGUUCGUGUAGAUUUGUGUGUUUGCAAAUGCGAAUAAUUGUAUGAUUAUUUACGUCGUGCGAGGUUCUCUUUAGGGGACUUGGACUCAAAGGUGGGGGUGCAGCCUCUAAGCCUACGGAAAGAGCAAAAAAAGUAGCCUUGGUUCAAAAGUUUAUGGACGGGGCUAUAUACUCUCGCAAAACAUCAAAUAACCAAAGCUGAAGAGUUGAUGAAAGGAGCUAUGGAGUACCUUUAUAAUGAUAACACAAUAAAAGAUAAAGCACCCAAACUUGAAGAGUUCAUGAAAGAAGCUAUCAAGUUUCUUGAACAAGAUAUGAUUGAAAAAUCUGUAGAGAUGAUCAAAGGAGCUACGCUGUAUCUUGAAAGCGAUGACGAAGCCAAAGAUGAAAAGAGCGGGAAAAGAGUGAAGUAUCUUGAAAACGAUAAAGUAGCAGCAGGAGUAAAUAAAGUACGCCUGGUUGAUGACUUUCUAAAAGAAGCUUUGCAAUAUCUUGAUGCAGAACAAGAAGUCAAAGCUAAAGAGAUCAUUCAAGGAAUUCGAUUGUAUGUUUCUCAAUGUGACGAAAUAGAAGAUAAAGCAGCGUCAGUUGAGGAGAUGAUCCAAGCAGCUUACAUUUAUUGAACAAGACAAUUUAGACGAAGCUGAAGAUGUGAUCUAUGGAGCAAUGACGUAUCUUGACAACGACGAUGAUGUGAAACAAUUAUCAAAAGCGGGUCAUGCCAAAGAAGUGAAGUAAGUAUCUUGAACAAGUUAAAGCAGAAAGAGGAAUAGAAAAAGGACUUUUUGUUGAUGAGGUUUUGAAAGGAGCUCUGAGUUAUAUUGACAAGAAACAGGUAGAGCAAGCUAAAGAGAUUUUUCAAGCAACCGUAAUGUACGUUGCUCAAGAUGACACAAUGAAAGACAAAGCGGCCACAUCUAUGGAGAUAAUGGAUGGAGUUUUGACGUUUCUUCAACAAGACCAAAUGGACAAAGCUAAAGAGAUGAUCCAAGGUGCUAUGGCAUAUCUUGAAGGCGAUGAAGAUGUCAAAGAAGCAGAUUAGCUACUCAUAGGCAUGGAUGUCAAAGAGCAAGAUAAGUUAGUCAAAGACGUGAAAGAUAAGGCUAAAACGAAAACGAAAAGAGUGAAGUAUCUGGAAAAUAAUAAAGUAGCAGCAGGAGUAAAUAAGGGGCGCUUGGUUGAUGACUUUCUGGAAGAAGCUUUGACGUAUCUUGAUUCAGAUCAAGCAGCCAAAGCUAAAGAGAUCAUUCAAGGAAUUCGACUGUAUGUUUCUCAGUGUGACGAAAUAAAAGAUAAGGCAGCCGCAGUUGAGGAGAUGAUCCAAGGAGCUUUGGCAUUUAUUGAACAAGACAGUUUAGACGAAGCUGAAGAGGUGAUCCAUGGAGCAAUGACAUAUCUUGACAACGAUGAUGAUGUGAAACAAUUAUCGAAAGCGGAUCAUGCCAAAGGAGUAAAGUAUCUUGAACAAGAUAAAGCAGAAAGAGGUAUAGAAAAAGCACUUUUUGUUCAUGAGGUUUUGAAAGCUCUGAGUUAUAUUGACAAGAAACAAGUAGAGCAAGCUAAAGAGAUUGUUCAAGCAGUCGUAAUGUACGUUGUUCAAGAUGACACAAUGAAAGACAAAGCGACCACAUCUAUGGACAUGAUGGAUGGAGCUUUGACGUUUCUUCAACAAGACCAAAUGGACAAAGCUAAAGAGAUGAUCCAAGGUGCUAUGACAUAUCUUAAAGGCGAUGAAUAUGUCAAAGAAGCAGAUAAGCUACUCAGAGGCAUGGAUGUCAAAGAACAAGAUAAGCUAGUCAAAGGCGUGAAAGAGAAGGCAGAAGCGAAAGCGAAGAGUCAAAUUUCUUGAAAAUGAGAUAUAAGAGCAGUAGUUAGAUUUACCUACUUUAGCAUUUUGCCAUGUUUUUGUCUUUCUUGGAUAUUAAGUUUUGUGCGAUUCAUAACGUGAAUAAAGUGUUCUAGUUAAUUUGUUUUGGGCUAAUAACAUUUUAUUCCAUCCAUAAUUAGUAUAUAUUUCAAGUUUUUGAAGUCAUUUUAUUUAGGGUAAUACCAAAAAAUAGGACAAUUUUUCAAUCUUGGGAUAAAAAUAGGACAUUUCGAAUAUGCACACGCCAAACACAACAAUCAGACAAAAAUAUGAUUUUUCUUACAUCUUGAAAUGACUUAAUUGCCCUUUAUAUAAAUACGUUAUUUCCUCCAAUUUUCUAAUUUCUCUCUCUCUACACUCUCUCUCUCCCUCCUCUCUCUUCUUUCACUUUCUCCCUCACGCACUCUCUCUCCCCUUCUUACUUUGCACACAUGGUGCACUGUCAUCCCGACCAACACCUUCCAAAUCGAAGCCACCACCAAUUUCAUCUCGCCUUCAUGAGUCCAAAACACCUAGCCUUGUCAUGAAUCUCAUCCUGAUCAUUGGGAUCAAAACUCAACCAGACCGCGAGUUUUCUGGUCAUUUUCCAACAACACGGCAAACAACCGAGGCUCUAGACCACUACCACUGGACUCGCAUCGAGGUGGGAACAAAGUCCAGCCAUUAAAUUCUGGUGUUUUGUUGGAUAAUUUUUUCAAGAUUUGCUCACUGUAGGUACACAACAUGAACAUGAUAUGCUCACAUAUUUGAGCCAACCCAAAAAUCCAGAGCUAACAACUCUCUUUUCGAAAUCAGAAAAAUGACGUCAUCACCUGUGACGUCACCACCAUAUACACUAUAGGCACACCACAUGCACAUCAUAUGUACAAUACAUGCACAUAAUAUGUACAUAGCUGGAGAUUGAGCAACGAGCUACUUUUCACAUUAAUAAGAAAUUUUAACGGCAACCUAUUGGUAUAGUGGAUACAAUUAAAACAUAACUGUUACGUAUAUAAGGUUACAUUAGCAGUUUGAAAGUCUUGUUAUGUAUAUCAAUCACCGCUUAACCGUGCACGUGGAAAACAUGAUACUUGUUGUCGUUAUUUCAUGGACACGCAUGAUCCUUAACGUCCUCUAAGUUUUUUCUUAAUUUUGUUUUUCGUCGAGGCCAACUAGGUUGUGGUCAUACUUGCUAAAUUCUGGGGCAUAACAUACGUGCAUCAUAACUAGUGAACAUUCUCGCUUCUCAUAUUAAGAUGUAGCCAUGCACACCAUAUGCACACCACAUGCAUAUUAUGAAAAAAAUUUCACAAAUUUUUGCAAUUGGACACUUGAACCAGAAAUUGUUCCAUCCCAGUUUUGUAGCACGUCAAAACUUGAAAUUUAUUCCACAAUCCAUAGGCCCCAACAUGAAACACAAACCCUAAGUUAACUUCUAAGUAUUAAUUCAUCUAAUUUCGAAGAGAGUGAAGUCCAAAGAUUGAGAAGAAUGAGCUGGGUUUUGGGUUGACCUUAUACAUCUGAUUUCAAACAAAGGGAUGCGAGAGAGAGGUGAGAAGAAAGCUGUUGUACCAUAUUGUUUGUUUUGGUAGGAAAAUUCUAUUUUUUUCCUGUGACUGAAGUUUCGACAGGCAUAGUAAGGUAGGGUGUUUACUUCCAAGUUCCUUCAUCAAUGAUUUAUGGAAUAAAUGAGUUGUUUAUAAGAUGAAUUAAUACUUAGAAGUUAAAUUAGGGAUUGUGUUUCAUGUUGGGGCCUAUGGAUUGUGGCAUAAAUUUCAAGUUUUGACAUGCUACAAAACUGGGAUGGAAUAAUUUAUGGUUUAGGUGUGUAAACAUUUUUUCGUAAUGUGCAUGUGGUGUGUAUAUGGUGUGUAUGGCUAUAUCUUACUAUGAAAAGCGGGAAUGUUCACUAGUUAUGAUGCACGUAUGUUGUGCCCUGGAAUUUAACGAGUAUGACCACAACCUAGUUGGCUUGGGCAAAAUAAAUAAAUAAAUAAAGCUUAAAGGACGUUAAGGAUCCUGUGUGUCCAUGAAAUAACGACAACAAGUAUCGUGUUUUCCACGUGCACGGUUAAGCGGUGAUUGAUAUACGUAACAAGACUUUUCAAACUGCCACUAUAACCUUAUAUACGUAACAAUUAUGUUUUAAUUGUAUCCCCUAUACUAAUAGGUUGUUGUUAAAGUUUUUAUUAAUGCGAAAAGCAGUUCGUUGCUUGAUCUCCAGUUUUGUGCAUAUCAUGUGCAUGUGAUGUGCCUAUAGUGUAUAUGGUGGUGACGUCACAGGUGAUGACGUCAUUUUUUUUUCUGAUUUCGAAAAAAAGAGCUGUGAGCUUUGGGUUUUUGGGUUGGCUCAGAUCUUUGAGCAUAUCAUGUGCAUGUCGUGUACAUACAUUGAGCAAAUCCUGAAAAAUUCAUCCAACAAAACACUAGCAUUUAAUGACUGGGCUUUGUUCCCACCCUCGAUGCAAGUUCAGUGGUGGUGGUCUCGAGCCCCGGUUGUUUGCCAUGUUGCUGGAAAAGUCGCAGCCUGCUUGAGUUUUGAUCCCAACAGUCGAGGAUGAGAUUCAUGACAAGGCUAUGUGUUUUGGACUUGUGAGGACGAGAUGAAAUUAAUGGUGGCUUCAAUUUGGACGAUGUUGGUCGGGAUGAUAGUGCAUCGUGUGUGCACAGUGAGAAGGGGAGAGAGAGAAUGCGUGAGGGAGAAAGUGAGAGAAGAGAGAGAGGAAGGGAGAGGGAGAGUAGAGAGAGAAACAUGUAUGGCCGUUUUGUCAUAUUUUUGUCCCAAAAUUAAGAAAUUGUCCCAUUUUGGAGUAUUUCCUUUUUAUUUAUGUCUUUUGUCUAUUUGAUCGUUUAGUCAUCCUUUAAACGAAUGCCUUAAUGGACUUGGAGAGACCAGUAUUCAAGUUGCGUAUAAACCAUAUAUACUUGCACAAUUAUGACUAAAUUAUGUAUCUAGUUGUCGUUCUGAGAUAUGUAACAUCGACUAAGGAGAAGUCAAAACUUGAUUAAGACUAUUUUUAGUCUAUGUGGUGCCAUUGUCUUUCAAGUUAACCCAACAAUGAGUCCUACAUCCCAUGAGUGUUGAGUCACCGAAUUAACGACAGACUAGAAGUUCAAACAGUUAAAAGGCAUAAAUUAGAAGAGAAUGCUUUUGUUUUUUGUUUGAGUUAUGAUAUAUUCUUCUCAAUAAGAGGAACUCAUAGGUGUACAACCCUAACAUAAAAGGAAAGAAAACUAAUUACAAGUGAUUACAUGGGAUUACAUAUCAAUUAGGGAUCCUACCUAAAAUACAAAAGUCAACACUCCCCCUCAAGUUGGUGCAUAUAUGUCGCUCAUGCCCAACUUGUGUAAGAAACUUGAAAACUUGUGACUCGAAACAGCUUUUGUGAGGAUAUCUGCUAACUGAUCUUCUGUUAUUAUCACCGGUACUUCAAUUAUUUUCUCUUCCAAUUUUUCUUUGAUGAAGAACCGAUCAACUUCAACAUGCUUUGUUCUAUCAUGUUGUACCGGAUUAUGUGCAAUGUCACGAACAGCUUUAUUAUCACAAAAUAAUUUCAUGGGCUGAUCAUGUUGUAUACCCAAAUCGCUUAACAGAAGCUUAAGCCACAAAAUUUCACAAAUCCCCAAAGCCAUACCUCUGUAUUCUGCUUCUGCAUUGGAACGGGCAACCACAUUCUGUUUCUUACUUCUCCAUGUAACCAAGUUACCCCCAACAAACGUAAAGUAACCUGAUGUUGAGCGUCUAUCAUCAAUGGAACCUACCCAGUCUGCAUCAGUAUAACCUUCAACACUAAAGUGAUUAUUCUUCUUAAACAAAAUUCCUUUGCCCGGACUUCCCUUCAAAUAUCGCAAUAUUCUCAUCACAGCAUUCAUAUGUUGUUCUCCAGGAUCAUGCAUGUAUUGACUCACUACACUCAAGGCAUAAGCAAGGUCCGGUCUUGUGUGUGCCAAAUACAUCAAAUGGCCUACUAACCUUUGGUAUCUUCCUUUGUCAUCUGGUACUUGAUUAGGAUCAACACUAAGCUUCAAUCCUUCUUCUAAUGGUGUAGCUACUGGUUGACAAGCUGACAUGCCAGUUUCGUGCAACAAAUCAAUAAUAUACUUCCUCUGAGACAAGAAAAUUCCAUAACUGCUUCUCGACACCUCAAUCCCUAAAAAAUAUUUCAGGGAUCCAAGGUCUUUCAUUUCAAAUUCUGUAGACAGGUAUCUUUGCAAGGCCGCACGUUCUUCCGGAUCAUUACCUGUUACCACCAUAUCGUCUACAUACACAAUAAGUGUAGUAAGCUUCCCAUUCUGUCUUUUCAGGAACAAAGUAUGAUCAGAGUUACUUUGUCUGUAACCAAAUGCUCUCAUAGAUUUUGUGAAUCUUCUGAACCAUGCUCGAGAGAACUGCUUCAAGCCAUACAAGGAUUUCUUCAACCUGCACACUUUUCUUUUGUAUUUAUCUGGAGCAUUACAUCCCGGUGGAAGAUCCAUAUAAAUCUCUUCUGUCAAGUCUCCAUGCAAGAAGGCGUUCUUCACAUCGAACUGUUGUAAGGGCCAAUUAAGAUUUGCAGCCAAGGACAACAAAACACGAACUGUGUUGAUCUUGGCUACAGGUGUAAAUGUAUCUGUGUAGUCGAUUCCAUAUUUUUGAGUGUAUCCUUUUGCUACCAGUCUUGCCUUGAAACGAUCCACCGUCCCAUCUGUUUUGUAUUUCACAGUAUAGACCCAUUUGCAUCCCACAGGUUUCUUGCCAGCUGGCAAAUCUGUGAUCUCCCAGGUAGCAUUCUUCUUCAAAGACUUCAACUCUUCACUCAUUGCUACUUGCCAAUGUGGAUCAGUUAAAGCCUCAUGCACACUGUUAGGAAUAGAUAAGUAGAUAAUUGAUGCACAAACGACUUAUUUGAUUCUGAUAGGUGACUGGUAGACACAUAAUUACUUAACGAGUAUAACACAUUAGACUCAGGGUUGAGCUUACUCAUCGGAUACCUAGUUUUGCAUUUAGGGUCGGCUUUAUAAGUAAGUUUAAGAAUACCUCGGUUGACGCGAUCAGGGAGACAAUGUGGUGGUGGUGCAUCCGGGAUCGAAGACGAUUGAUUAUGGUUAUUGGGACUCAAGAUCAACUGUGAGGUAGCUGGCGACACAGGGUUGUCCAGUGGUGAGGAAACUGGCAGUGAGCUAUCAGGCAGUGAGUUAUCUCGCGAUGUCGACUCGUCCCUUUCAAGGUUUUCAACAUUGUUUCCAUGUGAAUGAUCACCACUUGUCUCCAAGACAUUACCACUUAAUUCCAAUUCAUUCACAUCAUUAUUUUCAUGGGAAUGAUCACCACUUAUUUCCAAGACAUCACCACUUAAAUCCAAAUCAUUCACUCUAUCUAUAUCUGGAACAAUAUAAUCAAGAGUUUGAACUUCUUUCUGAUUCUCCCCCUGAAGUGAAGACUCAGGAUUGGCAAAGUACAUAUCAUUCUCAUGAAACGCAACAUCCAUAGUGACAACAACUUAUUCGUCAGUGGGUGAUAACAACGGUAUCCUUUCUGCCUUGAUGCAUAGCCUACAAACACACAUCGUAAGGCUCAAGGUUCAAGCUUACUUUGCAGUUGUUUAUGAAGAUGAACGAAGGCCAUAUAACCAAACACAUGAGGUGGAAGAUUAGGGACUGCAGAAGCAUCAACAUGUGAAGAAAGUGCCUGAAGGGGUGUCUGAAAAACAACCGAUCGGGAUGGAACACGAUUAAUAAGAUACGCAGCUGAGGUGAGAGCUUCUCCCCAAUAGGAUAACGGGAGACAAGCCUCGAGUAAAGAAGCACGAACAACCUCCAGAAGCUGACGGUUCUUGCGUUCGGCAACCCCAUUUUGUUGUGGAGUAUAUGGACAUGUAAUUUGAUGAACAAUCCCAUGAUGAUCAAGAAAGGCACGAAGUUCAGAGUUUACAUAUUCGCCACCAUUAUCACUCCUGAGAACCUGUAUUUGUGACUUAUAUUGUACUUGUACCAUUUUGUAAAACUGUUGAAACAAAGAAGUAACUUCACCUUUGGAUUUCAUCAAACAAACCCAAGUCAUACGUGUGCAGUCAUCAAUAAAAGUAACGAACCAAUGAGCACCACCAAAUGUAGUAGUUUUAGAUGGACCGCAAACAUCAGAAUGAAUUAUCAUAAAUGGAACAAAACUUUUAUUCAAAUUGGAUGGAAACGAAGCACGAUGACUUUUAGCUAGUUCAAAAACACCACAUUUAAAGCUAGAAACAUCAUGCUUAACAAAUAGGCUAGGAAACAACCUCCGUAGAUAGCCGAAAGAAGCAUGUCCAAGUCGACGAUGCCACAACCAAACCUCCAAAGCUUUAUUCCUAUCCCCCGGAUUUCCGUCCACUGUAAGAGCGUGAGUCAACAUUCGAGAACUGUUUGAUGUCAGCUCCCAGUAGUAGAGCUUCCCUUUCCUAAUACCAUAACCAAUCAUCUUGCGAGUCCGAAUGUCCUUAAAAACACAAAAAGAAGGCCAAAAAAUUACAAGACAAUGCAGGACGACAGUUAUUUGAGCAACAGAUAAUAAAUUAUAGUCAAGAGAAGGCACAACAAGUACGGUAUCAAGUCUAAGGGUAUCUGAAAGGGAGACGGUUCCUUCCCCGAUAACAGGGGCAGGAUUACCAUUGGCGACACUGACGACAGUUUUGGUGGAUGGUUUUAGGGUUUCUACCUGUCUAGAAUCACAAGUCAUAUGUUCAGUAGCACCAGAAUCAAUUAUCCAUGUAUUAUUCGUAGCAGAGGUAGAAACCUUUAAAGCCUUACCAUUGUUACCUGUAUUAGCAGAAUCACAAGUCCAGACUGCCAUUCCCAAGCAACUUCAAUCAAUAAGUCACUUAGUGAUUGAUAAAGACCAAAUUUCCAAGCAAACCAAGCCCAAGAAGUGUCAAUUUGCACGAGCCACCAAGAAAGAAGCCCAACAACCACAAAGAACCAAUUAGUGGUAAUAAACCGAAAAAAAAACCAAUCAAUAAUGUCGUGCCCGUGUGGGCCAAAAAAUCAAAAAAUUUGUUUUCCUUUUCCCUUUUUUUUCUUUCUUCCGGUUUUUUCUUUCUUUUUUUUAUUUUUUAUUUAUUUUUAAACCUUUUAUUUUCCCUUUUCCUAUUCUGACAAACAAUUGCAGAACUUUUUGUAGAACUUUCGCACAUAACCACUUCAACGCAAAGAAAAACUGCAGAA